rnacentral:rRNA from 1 species
AUUGAACGCUGGCGGCAGGCCUAACACAUGCAAGUCGAACGGUAACAGAAAGCAGCUUGCUGCUUUGCUGACGAGUGGCGGUCGGGUGAGUAAUGUCUGGGAAACUGCCUGAUGGAGGGAGAUAACUACUGGAAACGGUAGCUAAUACCGCAUAACGUCGCAAGACCAAAGAGGGGGACCUUCGGGCCUCUUGCCAUCGGAUGUGCCCAGAUGGGAUUAGCUAGUAGGUGGGGUAACGGCUCACCUAGGCGACGAUCCCUAGCUGGUCUGAGAGGAUGACCAGCCACACUGGAACUGAGACACGGUCCAGACUCCUACGGGAGGCAGCAGUGGGGAAUAUUGCACAAUGGGCGCAAGCCUGAUGCAGCCAUGCCGCGUGUAUGAAGAAGGCCUUCGGGUUGUAAAGUACUUUCAGCGGGGAGGAAGGGAGUAAAGUUAAUACCUUUGCUCAUUGACGUUACCCGCAGAAGAAGCACCGGCUAACUCCGUG